rnacentral:rRNA from 1 species
AACGAACGCUGGCGGCAGGCCUAACACAUGCAAGUCGAGCGAGGACUUCGGUUAGCGGCGGACGGGUGAGUAACGCGUGGGAAUGUGCCCUUCUCUACGGAAUAGCCCUGGGAAACUGGGAGUAAUACCGUAUACGCCCUUUUGGGGAAAGAUUUAUCGGAGAAGGAUCAGCCCGCGUUGGAUUAGGUAGUUGGUGGGGUAAUGGCCUACCAAGCCGACGAUCCAUAGCUGGUUUGAGAGGAUGAUCAGCCACACUGGGACUGAGACACGGCCCAGACUCCUACGGGAGGCAGCAGUGGGGAAUCUUAGACAAUGGGGGCAACCCUGAUCUAGCCAUGCCGCGUGAGUGAUGAAGGCCUUAGGGUUGUAAAGCUCUUUCAGCUGGGAAGAUAAUGACGGUACCAGCAGAAGAAGCCCCGGCUAACUCCGUG